rnacentral:rRNA from 1 species
GAUGAACGCUAGCUACAGGCUUAACACAUGCAAGUCGCAGGGUAACAUGAGGAAAGCUUGCUUUCCUUGAUGACGACUGGCGCACGGGUGAGUAACGCGUAUCCAACCUUCCCAUAACUACGGGAUAACCCGUUGAAAGACGGCCUAAUACCGUAUGAUAUCGUUUGCUGACAUCAAAUAACGAUUAAAGGUUUAGCGGUUAUGGAUGGGGAUGCGUCUGAUUAGCUUGUUGGCGGGGUAACGGCCCACCAAGGCGACGAUCAGUAGGGGUUCUGAGAGGAAGGUCCCCCACAUUGGAACUGAGACACGGUCCAAACUCCUACGGGAGGCAGCAGUGAGGAAUAUUGGUCAAUGAGCGAGAGCCUGAACCAGCCAAGUAGCGUGCAGGACGACGGCCCUAUGGGUUGUAAACUGCUUUUAUGUGGGGAUAAAGUGCGUGACGUGUCAUGCAUUGCAGGUACCACAUGAAUAAGGACCGGCUAAUUCCGU